GAUGAACGCUGGCGGCGUGCUUAACACAUGCAAGUCGAACGAUGAAGCCCAGCUUGCUGGGUGGAUUAGUGGCGAACGGGUGAGUAACACGUGAGUAACCUGCCCUUAACUCUGGGAUAAGCCUGGGCAACUGGGUCUAAUACCGGAUAGGAGCGCCUACCGCAUGGUGGGUGUUGGAAAGAUUUAUCGGUUUUGGAUGGACUAGCGGCCUAUCAGCUUGUUGGUGAGGUAAUGGCUCACCAAGGCGACGACGGGUAGCCGGCCUGAGAGGGUGACCGGCCACACGGGGACUGAGGCACGGCCCAGACUCCUACGGGAGGCAGCAGUGGGGAAUAUUGCACAAUGGGCGAAAGCCUGAUGCGGCGACGCCGCGUGAGGGAUGACGGCCUUCGGGUGGUAAACCUCUUUCAGUAGGGAAGAAGCGGAAGUGACGGUACCUGCAGAAGAAGCACCGGCUAACUACGUG
rnacentral:rRNA from 1 species